AUAUGGGUGAACGAUAUCGAAAUCCACGGGCUAUGAGCGGAAUCGUGCUCCGUCAGAGUGAUACAGAGAGAGAGAGAGAGAGAGAGAGAGAGAGAGAGAGAGGAGAGAAAUAAAAAGGAAAGAGAAGAGAAGAAAGAGAGAAGAGAGAAGGACGGAACGAAGGAAGAAACGGAAUUCGCUUAGUUAAAGUUUGCCGUUACGAUACAAAUGUAAUCGAAAUUUCCUCUCUCUCUCUCUCUCUCUCUCUCUCUCUCUCUCUGUCUGUUCGUUCGAUGGGUCAUCGGUUAUAUCGAGCUCUAUUUUCAGUUCGGCCAGUUAACUCGAUAAUUUGCGUUUUCGGUUGAGGUACGACCGUUACCAGGCAUACGCUAGGAAAUGUUUCAACGAAUGAAUGGAAUCGUGCGAUGAGAAUCUCGAUGCAACGGCAACUGACUAUCGUGUCUCGCACUUGUUGCAACGCGUCGCACCCCAAGCAGAAAGAUAGGAUCGACCCACUUCUAUAACUCGGCUUUCUGAUAUAUGACUACGCUUCUAACGCUUCCAAACCGAGCAACGUACGUGAACACAUUCCUGCCAAAUCCGUUAGGGAACUGAGAGAAAAUUGCAUGAAAAGGUUAAUCUUCAGUACGGUUUAUCUUUCGUUACGCGGUAAGAGAGGAAUUAUUGCCGUUGACUCAUCGAUGGAUACAAACGAAGAACAGAUACACGGCAUUGUUUUCCUUCGACUUUCUUAUAAUUUAUUUCUAGUUUAUACUCUACGAGCGACACAACAAAGAUAUCCUACCGAUAAACAAUUCGAUAACUCGAUUAUCGAUAUUUCAAUCAUCUAGUCUAUCGAAAUUUUUUCAAUAUAAUUCUCCUAUAGGCUUACUCAUUGUUUUUCUACGAAAAAUAAUCGAACUGAAAGUCGCGUUAUAUACCUGAAAAAAGGUACGAACGGUUCAAGAUUUACAACUACUGAUGUCCCUGAAGCUCGAGGGACAGACAGUUCCUCACGGAACAUAAAGACAUUAUCGUUGUUGUGCCUUUCAUAUAUUUUAUGUUAAAGUCGAGGCAAAUGGCGUAAGAAGAUCGUUCAAUUAUCUUUCGGCGAUUUCAAAAACAAAUAAGUUCCGUUAGACAUUUUAUUCCCUUAAACGUAGUUAUAAUUUUAUGACUUUUAUUAUUCCUAUUAAAUUAACUACAUCGAGAAUACUUUGUAACAUUUUUUAUUAAUGAAAAAGCAUGCUCUCCACUCCAUUUCCAUGUUUACAUUUUCCCACGAAAAAUCGUGGCUAUACUUUUUCAGAGUCAUAAUAUAGUUAAGAGUUUCGAUCAAAAUGAGGAGAAGUAAAAUGGAACGUCGAAGAUUUGGAAUCGGUGAGAGGUGGAGUAGAACAGGGGAAGAGAAGGAGGAAGAUGGUAAGGGAAAGAGAAGGGGCAUCGAGUUCCUUUUUACUUACACCACACGUUCUAUCGAUCAGCAUCCGAUUCUUCCCUUCUUUCUUUCUCGCGUAUACUUAGGAAGAAAAGAAACCGGACCGCGAAGGAUGACGGGAGCCUCUCGCAGCUUUUAUACCCGUCGAAAUAGCCGAACGAAAGUAGUCUCGCGGGCUUGUCGAUUUUCUCUCUCUCUCUUUCUCUCUGGCUUUUGGCUAGGUAGAUGGGUAGAUGGGUGGGUAGGUAGGUAGGUAGGUAGGUAGGUAGGUAGGUAGAUAUCCCGUUUUCUCCGUCGCGAGUUAACUCCUCGGGUCGUCCAAAGCCCGCGGUCGGUCGGUUGGUCGGUCGGUCGGUCGGUCGUACCGUAGAGCUAUGUAUUUACACCAGGGUAGCUUCCUCUCUCCCCCAUCCUUUUCUCUCUCUCUGUCUCUCUCUCUCUCUCUCUCUCUCUCUCUCUUCGUCCGGCCCUGAUACCUAGUACAUAGGACUGGGGCAGCCAGCACCUCCCACCCUCUCUCUCUCGUACUCGGUCUCUCUCUCUCUCUCUCUCUCUCUCUCUCUCUC